CUCCAGGUUGUUUUGCUCACGGAAAAAGGCAUUAGGCUGCCUCAGCCUUUUCAGGAGAUGAGGCCUCUGCUCUUAGGUAGGUUGAGGGCACGAAUCUGGCUCUGAACAGGUGUCUUUCAUAUCCUGACACAGACGGUGAACCUGCUCCUCAACAAGGGAGCCAGCCUGAAUGUCUGUGACAAAAAGGAGCGGCAGCCUCUGCAUUGGGCAGCUUUUCUAGGGCACUUGGAGGUCCUAAAACUGCUGGUGGCACGGGGAGCAGACCUCGGCUGCAAGGACCGCAAGGGCUAUGGGCUGCUCCAUACAGCUGCUGCCAGUGGCCAGAUUGAAGUGGUGAAGUACCUGCUUCGGAUGGGAGCGGAGAUCGAUGAGCCCAACGCUUUUGGAAACACAGCUUUGCACAUCGCCUGCUACCUGGGCCAGGAUGCUGUGGCUAUUGAGCUGGUGAAUGCCGGAGCCAAUGUCAACCAGCCGAAUGACAAGGGCUUCACGCCACUGCAUGUGGCUGCAGUCUCCACCAAUGGCGCUCUCUGCUUGGAGCUACUGGUUAAUAAUG
rnacentral:sRNA from 1 species